CCUACGGGUGGCAGCAGUGAGGAAUAUUGGUCAAUGGGCGCGAGCCUGAACCAGCCAAGUAGCGUGAAGGAUGACUGCCCUACGGGUUGUAAACUUCUUUUAUAAAGGAAUAAAGUGAGGAACGUGUGCCUUUUUGUAUUUACUUUAUGAAUAAGGAUCGGCUAACUCCGUGCCAGCAGCCGCGGUAAGACGGAGGAUCCGAGGGUUAUCCGGAUUUAUUGGGUUUAACGGGAGCGUAGAUGGGUUGUUAAGUCAGGUGUGAAAGUUUGCGGCUCAACCGUAAAAUUGCAAUUGAUACUGGCAGUCUAGAGUACAGUUGAGGUAGGCGGAAUUCGAGGUGUAGCGGUGAAAUGCUUAGAUAUCUCGAAGAACUCCGAUUGCGAAGGCAGCUUACUAAACUGCCACUGACAUUGAUACACGAAAGUGUGGGGAUCAAACAGGAUUAGAUACCCCAGUAGUC
rnacentral:rRNA from 1 species